UGCAGUCGAACGAGAAACGGUCUAGCUUGCUAGAUGCAGUCUAAGUGGCGCACGGGUGAGUAAUGUAUAGCUAAUGUGCCCCUUGGAGGGGGAUAACAGUUGGAAACGGCUGCUAAUACCCCAUACUCCUUCAUUCUUAAUGAGUGAAGGGAAAGUUUUUUCGCCAAGGGAUCAGGCUAUAUGGUAUCAGCUAGUUGGUGAGGUAACGGCUCACCAAGGCAAUGACGCCUAACUGGUCUGAGAGGAUGAUCAGUCACACUGGAACUGAGACACGGUCCAGACUCCUACGGGAGGCAGCAGUGGGGAAUAUUGCACAAUGGAGGAAACUCUGAUGCAGCAACGCCGCGUGGAGGAUGACGCAUUUCGGUGUGUAAACUCCUUUUAUAUAGGAAGAUAAUGACGGUACUAUAUGAAUAAGCACCGGCUAACUCCGUGCCA
rnacentral:rRNA from 1 species